GACGAACGCUGGCGGCGUGCUUAACACAUGCAAGUCGAACGGAAAGGCCCUGCUUUUGUGGGGUGCUCGAGUGGCGAACGGGUGAGUAACACGUGAGUAACCUGCCCUUGACUUUGGGAUAACUUCAGGAAACUGGGGCUAAUACCGGAUAGGAGCUCCUGCUGCAUGGUGGGGGUUGGAAAGUUUCGGCGGUUGGGGAUGGACUCGCGGCUUAUCAGCUUGUUGGUGGGGUAGUGGCUUACCAAGGCUUUGACGGGUAGCCGGCCUGAGAGGGUGACCGGCCGCAUUGGGACUGAGAUGCGGCCCAGGCUCCUACGGGAGGCAGCAGUGGGGAAUAUUGCACGAUGGGCGGAAGCCUGAUGCAGCAACGCCGCGUGCGGGAUGACGGCCUUCGGGUUGUAAACCGCUUUCGCCUGUGACGAAGCGUGAGUGACGGUAAUGGGUAAAGAAGCACCGGCUAACUACGUG
rnacentral:rRNA from 1 species